rnacentral:hammerhead_ribozyme from 1 species
AUCCAAAUGACGAGUCCCAAAUAGGAUGAAAAUUGCGUCCUAGAU